UGCCCCUGUGGUUUCACUCAUUCCUACUUCAGCUGCUGAUCCAGACGGCCCCAUCGGUGUGACAGAGUGGCUUGUUCGUAUCCAAAGAAGAGCUGGGGGCCAGGCAUGCUGAUCCACGCUUCCAGUGACCGCUGGUCAAGUGUGGUGUCCAGGUGCCUGAAUGGGAAUCUCCGAGGAGAGGGGGGCGGUCGCCAACUUGCCAAAAUUCAGAUUUCCGGGCCUCCACCCACUCAGAGCGUGCGAGUGUCUGGGGCGGGACUCAAGGCCCGGAUUUUGACAAGCUCCCCAGCUAACUCCGGCUCAGCACCGGUCGGACAGCCCCGGGAGCUGAGGCGCAGCUGCGGCGGGAGGUGUGGCAGGGGUUCCCGCCUCGGCCCCCUGGGCGCGUGGUGCCGGACGCUCUUCCGUGUAGAGGGCUGUCCUGGGCGUCUCGGGAGACCGGCAGCAUCCCUGGUCGCUGCUGCCUAGUUGCCAACAGCACCCCCUCCCAUAGCCGCGACCACCAGAAUCAUUCCUGGACAGCGCUGAUGUCCCCUGCGGGGCCAGUUCGCCCCCCACAGGAGAACCAGUGACGGAGAAGGCGGGGCAGAGGAGCUGCAGGUGGAUCGAGAAAGCCUGGAACCCGGGCCGGGCCACGGACCAGCCCUGCCGAGGAGCUUUGGACAAGUUACUUCGUUUCUCCGAGCCUCGGGCCCCUCAUCUGUGAGAUGAGGGAAAUCACAGCGCCGGCCUCACAGGACUGGUCAGCGGGUCCCUGCGCCCCUGCUGAGGCCGCCGGACGGACGUGCCUCACGUCAGCCACCGGGGCGACCGCAGCCCAGCUGUUGUACCACCUCCGUCCACGUCUUCGAAGGGACCGACUUUCUGGGGACGGAGGUGCGGGCUGAGCGGAGCGAGGGAUGCCAGCCCCGGGUUGGCUGGUUGUCGUUGCCAUUCCCAUCCUGACCUAACACGUCCACGCUCUUCUCCGGAUGCACCGGAUCCCCGGUCCCACAAGGACGAGGAGCACAAGUGCUGUGUGUGGGGAGGACGGACUCUUGCCAGUGAUCUCCGCCUCGGAGAAUCUCAGCCCCGACGGGGACCCCAGUUCAUCUUUCUGCAUUUGUUGAGGCUCGAACCACCAGAGGCCACAGAAAGCCGUUUCCGACAACCGGGGCCUGCUUGCGUAGACGGUGGUCCCGGGUCCUUCCUUCCGCUCUGGGUCCCCGCCCCUCCCGCCCCCACGGGGGAGCCGCCUGUCUCCGCCCACCUCCCGAGUGCACUGAGAUUCCUACAGGUGCUGCGGCUGCCCUUGUCUCUGUGGCUUCUGGUUACCCUUGACACCCCCAGGAAGAGAACCAGGGGGCUCUGUUUACUGUAUUAUAUUGCCAAAUCUAUUAUUAUAUUGUAUUCCUAUAUUAUAUUCCAAAAAGACGUA